UGGGGAAUUUUGCGCAAUGGGGGAAACCCUGACGCAGCAACGCCGCGUGGAGGAUGAAAUCCCUUGGGAUGUAAACUCCUUUCGAUCGGGACGAUAAUGACGGUACCGGAAGAAGAAGCCCCGGCUAACUUCGUGCCAGCAGCCGCGGUAAUACGAGGGGGGCAAGCGUUGUUCGGAAUUAUUGGGCGUAAAGGGUGCGUAGGCGGUUUGAUAAGUCAUCUGUGAAAUCUCUGGGCUCAACCCAGAGUCUGCAGGCGAAACUGUCGGGCUUGAGAGUGGGAGAGGUGAGUGGAAUUUCCGGUGUAGCGGUGAAAUGCGUAGAUAUCGGAAGGAACACCUGUGGCGAAAGCGGCUCACUGGACCAUUUCUGACGCUGAUGCACGAAAGCUAGGGGAGCAAACAGGAUUAGAUACCCUGGUA
rnacentral:rRNA from 1 species